rnacentral:rRNA from 1 species
ACGAACGCUGGCGGCGUGCUUAACACAUGCAAGUCGAACGGAAAGGCCCCUUUGGGGGUACUCGAGUGGCGAACGGGUGAGUAACACGUGAGUAACCUGCCCUUGACUUCGGGAUAACUUCAGGAAACUGGGGCUAAUACCGGAUAGGAAUCCUUGCUGCAUGGUGGGGGUUGGAAAGCUUCGGCGGUUUUGGAUGGACUCGCGGCGUAUCAGCUUGUUGGUGGGGUAGUGGCUUACCAAGGCUUUGACGGGUAGCCGGCCUGAGAGGGCGACCGGCCACAUUGGGACUGAGAUACGGCCCAGACGCCUACGGGAGGCAGCAGGGGGGAAUAUUGCACAAUGGGCGGAAGCCUGAUGCAGCAACGCCGCGUGCGGGAUGACGGCCUUCGGGUUGUAAACCGCUUUCAGCAGGGGCGAAGCUUGUGGUGACGGUACCUGCAGAAGAAGCACCGGCUAACUACGUG